UACGUAGGGGGCAAGCGUUGUCCGGAAUGACUGGGCGUAAAGGGAGUGUAGGCGGCUUAUCAAGUUAGAUGUGAAAUCCCGCGGCUUAACCGCGGAACUGCAUCUAAAACUGGUAAGCUGGAGUGCAGGAGAGGUGAGUGGAAUUCCUAGUGUAGCGGUGAAAUGCGUAGAUAUUAGGAGGAACACCGGCGGCGAAGGCGGCUUACUGGACUGUAACUGACGUUGAGGCUCGAAGGCGUGGGGAGCAAACAGG
rnacentral:rRNA from 1 species